CCAUCUGGCUGCUCUCCCUGUGGGGAUGACAUUCAGCUGAUUCCAGUUGUAGCCACAGGAGCCUCAAAAGCAGCAUCUAAAGCAGGAAUGUGCAGCUCUGACGGUAGCUGCAUGCAGCUGUGGUUGAACAGUGCUGCAGCCUGCAACUACUCAUGUCCCAGCAACAGAAGCAAGAUGGAGAUGAGUAAGUUCAGUUUUGAGGUGAGAAAACCUCACAUCAACCGAGACAUUUAAAAUGAGAGAAGCUUGUGCUUUACUUUGGAAGGUGCCUCUAUCCAAUCCUUAGGUGAAGCCUGUCUCAUUGCACUGCAUGUGUGCAGGAAGUGAAGAUUGAGGCAAACUGCUCAUCUCUUGUGCUGCCAGGACAGUGUUUUCCAGAGGACAGACAUGUUAGUGAACACAAGCACAGGGCUUGCUCUCCCUGGGGUAAUGAAACCAGGAACGUAUGGGGGCAGUGCUUGGCCUUACUCUUUAGAGACACGCUGCUCAGGUACGAAGCCUGGAAAAGUGGAGGUUCUCGAGGGGCUGCAUUCAGCCUGUGCUGAGAGAGGCUCUGGCGCAUCACAGCUUGUUCCUGUGAGCGGUUUUACAGCACCCGCUUAGAAAGGGGUUGGUGACUGAGCAGAAGCAUCUCUGAUUCUGAAUGAGGCUCAGGCGAUUUCAGCCUCAAAACCCAAGUCAUCCUUAAUGUCCGGAGCCAUGGAAAUGAUGAUGCAACGGUGCUUGUGAACUGACAUGGCAUUUUUCCAUAGAUGACCUGUGAGCCCCUGCAGUCAGCACCCUCAGCAAGGUACAGCUAUGGGCUUUCGCUAAGAUUCCAGAAGUUAGAAGCUGAUCUCAACACUGUGGUGUUAGAAAGCCUUUGUACUGCUACCUCUGUAGCCUCAGUGCAACUGCUGGCGGAGCAGCCCCCUCCUGGUAGUUCCCUUCAAGAAGCGGCAGAGCCUCAUGCUAUUGUGGUUGCGCUUUGGAAGGAUCAGUCAUCUUGUCAGUUCUGUGUCGAGAAAGUGGCUGCUGCUGCUGCUGAGACUGAUGCUGCUGGUGGUGGGACUGAGUAAAAGUGCUUUGUUGUAGUGGGAAAGCAGCAGAAAGGAUGAGCUGAGCUGACUGAUUUCCAUGAAGUAACCUGGAUGUCUGGAACAUGGAAAUAGAAGACGAUUAUUUUUCCUGCUGCACUGAGAAACUGCAGGCCUGGCUACUUUCUACCUUUUCAUAAGGGCUCAAUCAAACUAAAUUUCUGAUUUGGUCAUUUAUGCUGAACAAACAAUGCAAAGAUUAGUUCAUACUAAUACAGUUAAUUAUAGCAUCUGACCAAUUAUCAAAGCAGCUGUAACUGGUCUUCAUAAUUUCCCAUGACAAUGGGUAGGAACACAUGGCAAUUUGUCUCCAGUUCAAACCACAAGAGCAUAACAGGGCUUAAGGAAUUCAUUUGAACAAAUGCAGGUGGCUGACAUUGCAAUCACAUGGAAAAACAGUGCAUGACUUGGCACAGAUCACAUUUAUGCCCACCCACCCAAAAUGAACAUUCUAAGAACCUGCUGCAUUUGCGGACUCAAACAUCCCCUUUGGAGAAGAUAUAUUAUUGCUGGAAAUACUACUUAGUUUUAAUAUUAACCUUCUUAGAACCAAAGAAGAAAAGCAACCAAGGAUAGCUAAAAAUGCCCUUGGAUAUCUCAAUCCUGAAACACGUUCUGCAACAGAAAUUAAACUGCAUUAACUGGUGCAUCUACACAAUCAGGUUGUAAGAAGGCUCAGUGAGCAGAGGCAGGAAAAGCACUUUUCUCCCUUCUUAAGGAGCAUUUGCUUCACUUCAAAUUCUAGCACUUCAGUAUUUUGAAUACAAACGAGUAACUUUUGCUUAGAAAGAAAUUCUAGAACAGGAACAAACUUUUGGAGAUCUUCAUCUUCCACAAAUCUUCUGUUUCAACAGAAUUAUGUCAAAAUUGUUCAAACUUUUAAAUUUAGAAACA
rnacentral:lncRNA from 1 species